UACGUAGGGCGCAAGCGUUGUCCGGAAUUAUUGGGCGUAAAGAGCUCGUAGGCGGCUUGUCACGUCGGCUGUGAAAACACGGGGCUUAACCCCGUGCCUGCUUCCGAUACGGGCAGACUAGAGGUAUGCAGGGGAGAACGGAAUUCCUGGUGUAGCGGUGAAAUGCGCAGAUAUCAGGAGGAACACCGGUGGCGAAGGCGGUUCUCUGGGCAUUACCUGACGCUGAGGAGCGAAAGUGUGGGGAGCGAACAGG
rnacentral:rRNA from 1 species